rnacentral:lncRNA from 1 species
GUUUUUCGUAUUUUUGAGUACUUUUAAGUAUACCAAUUUAUCCUAAACAGCUAAACCUAAUUAGAUGAAGUGUAAUUGAACUUCUAAGAGUCGUUAAACAUAUGUUUAUAUUAGAAAUGAAUUGACUUUGUAAAAUGAAGAAAUAUGAGACGAACUUUGUGAACAUUUAAAAAUAAAUGAACCUUGUGAAGUGAAUAUGUUGUGAUCGAUUAACAUUAAUGUUAGAUGAUAUGUAUGGAUGGUUUCAUGAUACGUUAGAAUAUGGAAACCUACUUUUGUUGAGGAAAAUUUCAAAUAGACAAUUUUGUGAAAAUAGACGAACUUUGUCAAAAUGAGGUUUUAUGAUCGAAUAACUUGCAAACGACUUUAUGAACAUGAUAACAUGAUGAAGCAAGAAUGAGCCACUGUUUGUUGGAUGUUUAAUAGGUUGGUUAUCAUGAUGUGGUCGAUUGUCUGAUUAUUAUGUAAUUAUGCUAUAUGAAGUGAUGUUGUUUCUUUGUGGUGAUGAAUACUUAACAAUUGUUUAUCAUUGUUGAUUAUGAAUAUGUGGAGAUAAUUACUUGAUGAUGAAUAUGUAGAGAAGAUUAAGUGUUUAAUAAUUGUUGAUGUGUAGAUGUAUUGUUUGAUAAUGCAAAGUGGUGAAAACGUAGAGAAUAUGAAGAGUAUAUUGAUGUUGUGCAUUAUCGAGUCAAUACUUAGCAUCCAUGCAUUCAUAAGUCCUAUAUGUGGAGAAUAUAUAUGUAGACGAAUCAAUCCGUAAAAUUACCUCUGACAUCCCAUUGGUACCACAUGCAUGUAGAGUCAAGUCUAGAGCAUUACAUGCACUUGAGAUAUGUGAAAUGUGCCAUAUUUGAUUAGGUGCCUUGGUUAAUGAUGUGAAUUGUGUGAUUUAAUGAAUGUGGUAAUUAUGUGAAGUUGUGGACCUGUAUAUGUUUUUUGGUUAUGUUAAUAUACUUGAGAAAUAAUGUUGAUGCAAGAAUUCAUUUUCGGAAUACUUAAUUACUAUCUAUUUGAUUAUGUUUAUUAUGUGGAAUAUUAUCUAACGCCCAGUGGUUGUUUGGUUGAUUGUUUGCCUAUUUGUAUGAAUUGGUAGACGGCUUACAGAUCUGAGUUUUCUUUGUUAUUGAGUUUCUUGAGGAUAUCUUGGAGCUACCUCCUUUCUCUUUUGCUCGAAUCUAGUUAGGCUCUGAUUAGGGUGUCGAGCAUUUAUGUUUUAUUUUCAUUUAUCCAUUGU